rnacentral:rRNA from 1 species
CACCGGCGCCACGAGUGGUCAUCACGAUUAUUGGGCCUAAAGCGUUCGUAGCCGGCUUGGUAAAUCCUUUGUGAAAUUGUUCGGCUUAACCGAACAGCGUGCAGAGGACACUGCCAAGCUCGAGACCGGGAGGGGUCAGAAGUAUUCCAUGGGGACCGGUAAAAUGGGAUAAUCCAUGGAGGACUACCGAUGGCGAAGGCAUCUGACCAGAACGGAUCUGACGGUGAGGAACGAAAGCCAGGGGAGCGAACCGG